rnacentral:snoRNA from 1 species
UACAGUGAUGACACGAUGUCGCCCCAAACGGAGGCUCCUAUUCAGGACGAUGACCGAUUCGAUUCAAGCCAAACACUGAAAAUUCUGAUC